ACGGCAGACAGGCCAAGCGACACAGGGUCUAGCUCCACCACCUCGUCCUCCACCCGGGGACACGGGGGUCUCUUGGGGGUCUCAUAUCUAUCUUCAGAAAUAAACCAGCAAGUUAAGACCCCUUUCAUUGACCGCCCAAGACUAUCUCUGUUACGCUUACAUCUAGUGGCUUGCGUGGUCACUUAUGCUUACAUCUGAUGGCAGCGGUGAUCAAGAACCUCACAACGGCUUACGCUUACAUCGGUGGGAUCAAGAACCUCUCAACGCCUUACGCUUACCUCCUCGCCGACGCCGAUUCAUGCUAUCUGCCUACAAGCUACUACUGUCGAAGUGCCUCCUCGCCUCCUUUAACGUCCAGCCAUCCCUACCAAAUCUUCUUUGCACCAUGUCUACCCUGCUACUUUGUGCUGACCACUCACGUCUGUGCUACCCUCCUGACGAAGUCGCUGACGGCUCAUCUACCUCGCCAAGUCUUCGCGAACCUUCGUCAGCACAACCAUGGAGCCGCCAUUCUACUCAGCACCACCAAUACUUCCUAGCUACUAUUAAAACUUCUGAAGAUGAUUGACCCUCCUCGCUACUGAAUGUUGUACCUCAGUGCGAAACCUCCACCGCACCCGCUACCUUGGCACGCGACGACCCAAGCGACCAUCGGAUCACCAGGAACCAUCUGUAGAUACCUAACAGAACCUGUAUCUCUAUGUGCUACUGCAAUGUUCAUGCGUUGCAGACGGCUCGAGGACGAGCCUUACGCGCGGCCGAGCGAUGUGAACAAUACGUAGCAAGACCGGAUGGCAGAUUCACACCUCGGUCCAAGCAAAUGCCUUUCUCCUUGCGCAGGAUGCAGGUGCUGCCCUCCUUUCUCUUUUCACACAGGAAUAAACAUCCGCCCUCCAAGGAAACCGCCGCAUAAAAGGGCACGUGUCUAAGACACAGGGGAACAGAAGGAGACACGGCAGACAGGCCAAGCGACACAGGGUUUAGCUCCACCACCUCGUCCUCCACCCGGGGACACGGGGGUCUCUUGGGGGUCUCAUAUCUAUCUUCAGAAAUAAACCAGCAAGUUAAGACCCCUUUCAUUGACCGCCCAAGACUAUCUCUGUUACGCUUACAUCUAGUGGCUUGCGUGGUCACUUACGCUUACAUCUGAUGGCAGCGGUGAUCAAGAACCUCACAACGGCUUACGCUUACAUCGGUGGGAUCAAGAACCUCUCAACGCCUUACGCUUACCUCCUCGCCGACGCCGAUUCAUGCUAUCUGCCUACAAGCUACUACUGUCGAAGUGCCUCCUCGCCUCCUUUAACGUCCAGCCAUCCCUACCAAAUCUUCUUUGCACCAUGUCUACCCUGCUACUUUGUGCUGACCACUCACGUCUGUGCUACCCUCCUGACGAAGUCGCUGAGCUCAUCUACCUCGCCAAGUCUUCGCGAACCUUCGUCAGCACAACCAUGGAGCCGCCAUUCUACUCAGCACCACCAAUACUUCCUAGCUACUAUUAAAACUUCUGAAGAUGAUUGACCCUCCUCGCUACUGAAUGUUGCACCUCAGUGCGAAACCUCCACCGCACCCGCUACCUUGGCACGCGACGACCCAAGCGACCAUCGGAUCACCAGGAACCAUCUGUAGAUACCGAACAGAACCUGUAUCCCUAUCUGCUACUGCAGUGUUCCAGCGUUGCAGACGGCUCGAGGACGAGCCUUUCGCGCGGCCGAGCGAUGUGAACAAUACGUAGCAA